rnacentral:ribozyme from 1 species
UCUUAUUUUGCUUACUUUCAGUUCCUUCUUCUCUUCAUUUCUAUUCAAUUACAAUGAAAGAAAGAAGUGAUGAGUUUAAUUGAAUAGAAAAUGGAAGUGAGAGAAGUGAACGCUUUCUUCUUUCAUUCCCUUUAAUGUGAGAAAGGAACAAGGUGAAAGAAUA